rnacentral:lncRNA from 1 species
CUCAUGUUGACUUCAACAUUUCUAUUUCGACAUUUCAUGAUAUUGUACAGUAUAGAGGAGAAGAUCUAUAAAGUGUUGUUAUUUAAUGAAAUAGAAGAUUUUCUCUAUUCUACCACAAUGUAGUCUAACAGACGAUGAAAGAUAAUUGUCGAUGAAGAAGCUAAAUUUCAGUUAAUGAUUCGUACGAAGGUUAAAGGAUAACCUAAUUAUUCCCAUUAUUCUUCUUCGUUGCGUAUCUCAAGUAUUUUCAGAUGCCUUUCUCCAUACUUUUAACCAGUCAGAGAAAUUAGCAAUCUGCCCGACCCACUCUAUAGUGUGGUGACGAUCGACCCAGACCCGAAGUGACUAGAGUGUGAAACAAUCAUAUAGCAUUAUAUUUAGUCGAACAACAACUAUUGCUGCAACAUUUACAAGAGGUCGCAAUUGUGACUGCAGGCUUUGUGACCAUGUCGCCUAACGUAAAGACUUAAGAUUUCAGAGAAAACAACGCAACAGCGCAACCUUUGCGCGUUCGUUCCGCGUUGUUUGGCCAUCUUUUUUUUUUUCUCUUACGAGGUAUCCUUUGAAGUGCCUGCCACUAGUGCUUUCCCGAACAUAUCAUACGUCAUCGCCGUUAACCAACCUGGCAAUGACUUACGCGAUACCUGCCAUUUGUGACAGCUGUCGGACCGCCAUAGUGGAAGACCGAACGCAAACACCCGAACACAUUGUGGCUGUAAUUCCGUCGAAGUAACGGACAAGCUGAACGGUUAAACAUUAUUGAUUGAAAAUCACGCUAAUGCAUAGUCAAUCGAGACUGGGCGCAGCUCGCUAGCUCAAAGCUACGAAACUAUACUUCUUUGCUUUGAAGAAAUCUGACAAAUAAAGUCAAGUCUAGCACCGUUUUUUUCUCUUUAUACCAACGAAACAUUUCACAGUUGGAGCAGUGGAAACUCGUCACUACGCAACCGACAUCCGCGGCAAUCAAAUUUAGCGCCACACACUUUGAAAGCUGCCCAUUUCUGGUCGUUGCAUCGAUAGCUUCAACACCCUGCCGAACGAAACCGCCGUCAGCAGUGGGUAAAACAACUCGUGCCCCACGUAUAAUGUAACUACUGUGUCGCGAUAGCCGCAGAGCCGCAGAACUGGCAGUAUAUAUGUUAACGGAUGAACCCCGCAAUAACAGCAGCUACUCUCAGGUUUUAGCCGAACAUAGAUACACUUCCUUUCGUGUUGGAAAUCAGCCGUCUGAUGCAAUAAAACCGGACGUAAAUCUUCAAACCGUCAGUGACAUUUUAAUGGACGGUCAAGUCGAAAUGUUGCCUCUCUCGCACCACUGAUACAUCGAAAAGGGAGAUCUCGUCGUCAGAAGUCUCCACAUCGACAGGAUUUGCAGAAGAUUCUCCAGUUUGAUUAGGUGAUUCAGGCGAUCGAGACGACGGCGACAAUCAGAGACUGACUGCUCCGAGCUGCAGGUUUGGCCCUGUAUGUGUCAGGCCUCGAGCACAAGCUUUGCGUCUCUCCGUUUUUCGUAGGCAGAUAGGCCAGCAAGGAAGCAUCGAUUCGAUCCUUCAUAUCACCGGGCUGUUUCUAAGAGAUCGAGACAUCUGCAUUUCCCCCGUGGCGAUUCAUUACUACAAUUAUCUAUUGCGUAAUACAUCAAUAGCUUUGCCAUGGUUAGUCGCGCUUUUGUGCGAGACUGGCGUCACCCGCUAAUUGCCGUCCGUCAUUGGUAGCUUGGAUUGGCCACAUCUAACUAUUGUUGCAUUCUUCGGUAUUGGUAAACGAUUUCUGUUUCGCAACUAACCCUUUGUGCCUACUGGGUGUUGGCGGUGCCCCUACGCUCAGGGGCUUUCGCUGGUCGGUACCCUCCGCCUCUUUUCUCGUCGCUCAAUAUCGUUUCCCGAAAAUAUAAGAACGUAAGUAAGUUUAAGAAUAGCGACGGUGACAGUAGCAACGGCGGAAGGGUCGAUAGGACAACUUCUCAAUUGGUCUUUUCAUCAAUUUCGUUUACUGUUUAGCCGUCUAUCUAACAAACUAUGGCAACUAGUCAGUAGCAUAAAGCUACGAUU